GGGCGAGUGGCGGAAUCGGCAGACGCGCAGGCUUCAGAUGCCUGUGUUCGCAAGAACGUGGGGGUUCAAGUCCCCCCUCGCCCA
rnacentral:tRNA from 2 species